AACACUGUUAACCUGCGGUACCUGCGGAGGGAUCAUUACAGAGUUGAAAGACUCCCCACACCAUCGCGAACGUUACCCUUAACCGUUGCUUCGGCGGGCGGUCUCCUCCAACCCCCUCUUACGGGGGUUGGGAAACCCCUCGGCCCCCUCCCUUCGCGGACGGGGGGGGCGCCCGCCGGAGGUCACGCAAACUCUUGAUACCUAAACGGCCUCUCUGAGUAUUCUGUACUGAAUUAAGUC
rnacentral:misc_RNA from 1 species